GACGAACGCUGGCGGCGUGCUUAACACAUGCAAGUCGAACGGAAAGGCCCAGCUUGCUGGGUACUCGAGUGGCGAACGGGUGAGUAACACGUGGGUGAUCUGCCCCUGACUUUGGGAUAAGCCUGGGAAACUGGGUCUAAUACCGGAUAUGACCUUACAUCGCAUGGUGUUUGGUGGAAAGCUUUUGCGGUUGGGGAUGGGCCCGCGGCCUAUCAGCUGGUUGGUGGGGUAAUGGCCUACCAAGGCGACGACGGGUAGCCGACCUGAGAGGGUGAUCGGCCACACUGGGACUGAGACACGGCCCAGACUCCUACGGGAGGCAGCAGUGGGGAAUAUUGCACAAUGGGCGCAAGCCUGAUGCAGCGACGCCGCGUGAGGGAUGACGGCCUUCGGGUUGUAAACCUCUUUCACCAGGGACGAAGCGUGAGUGACGGCACCUGGAGAAGAAGCACCGGCCAACUACGUGCCAGCAGCCGCUGUAACAC
rnacentral:rRNA from 1 species